GAUCUCUGAGGACCCUUUUAGCUCUGGGAGUCCCGGACCAGGAGGACUGAGAGUGGCCGCCCUGUUGGAGACGGCGCCAGCAGGAGCCAUCUGGUCCCAGCCCCCUCCCUCCAUCCCGAGGACUCGGGGAGCUGGGUGCUCAGGCUGGAGCCUCCCUGUCAGACCCUCUCUGGGCUCUGCUUUUGAACAAAACCUCAUGUGGGUUUCUCAACGUCCCUGGGAAGAAAGGUGGCCGCCGUGGUCACCAUAAAGACCUCAGAUUCUUCUAGAGAAUCAGGGAUUGAAACGUGUCUGAAAGUUAAGGUUUUUAAAUGUUAGCAAAUCAUGUUUUAGGAUAUGUUGAACCCCACGACAGCACCUUCCUGGCUCGCUCGACUCCUGGACAGGAGUGGCCUGCGCCUGCCUGUUUUAGAGGCCGCACAGCAGGCGAUGGUCUAACGAGGACCAGACCCGACGGAGGCUGGAACGAGGGUGGCAGAGCACAGAGGCAGUGGCUGGGCGACGGCUGGGUGCUGGGCUGUUCAGAAAGCAGAGUCCACUGGGCUACCUGCUGACCAGAGGCGGGUCCCAGGAGGAAGACGAAGAGGUGACGGAGUGAUGGUGGGCCAGGACCCCAGGAGGGAGGCUUGGAUGCCAUCUAGUGUCCCCAGCAGGGCCACAGGCAAGCUCGAAGCCAGAGAAUGAGGAGAUAACUGACCACUCCUCCAGGGUACGAUGGGCAAGUCACCAAAGAAAGAUGUCCCCUCACACCAUGCCUUUCGAGAUUUCUGUCCCCAAAUUCGGGAUUUCGACCCCCACUCAUUGAGCCCUCGUUGGUUUCAGACACAGGAGGCUUAAAGAGUCGUAUCUCCUGGGAAGAACUUAUUCUCACCACGCAAUUACCUGCCAGCAUAAUAAACUUUCCCUCCAGAGUUCCAGAAAAUUCCUCAGAAAGCAGAGAGGAUGAAUAAGUCGGGCGACAAGCAAGAUGGGGAGAGGAACAGGAAUUCACGUUUACUGAGUAACUGCAAAGCUCCAGGGCCAUCUGGAAAUGCAAUUGGCUGGAAGCGAG
rnacentral:lncRNA from 1 species